GAGACUUCCACACCUCUGCAGCAUCACCUGCUCCAGCAAGCUCCCAAAGCCACCGGAGCCAGCCAGACUGCCUGGGCCCCACACCCCCUUCUCUGACGGCUUUAGCUCCAGCCCAGCCCACAGGAUGCAGUGCCUGAUGCCACUUCCGAGCAGAGAGAGACACACACGCACACACACACACACAGAAUGCCACCUCGUCAAUGACAAGCUGUUCCAAUCACACAGCUCGGACACCAAGCGGACCGGACAACGGACAGCCCAGGCCUCCUCCCUCUGACUGGGAGGAAGCCAACUCAGCACGUCUGGGGAAGUGAUCCCCCACCGCAAGCCCCCCACUCACCCUCCAUAUUUGAUCUGACAGCAGUGCUCUAUCCUGGCCGGUAGCCUUCCCUGCAACCAGCUCGCACAACUCUGACCAACUACCCUCGUGGCCUUCAGGUGAGGCACUGCUCUCUCUCCUGUCCCAAAGCACAAGGAAACCCCAAACCAAGCAGGAGACCACCGGCGCACCACUUCUCCAGAGGACCAGACAGAGUGAACUGAAAACCAAGUACUCACUGUGGUGAAGUCUUGGUGGCCGCACUCCUGCCCUUUGAACUUGCAGUAGAGCAUCAUAUCCUUCAGGUCAUGGCCCACACGGUGCAGGAACUCCAGCAUGCUGAACUGCUUGGGUUUGUAGUGCUUGAAGUUGGCCUUCUGCCGCAGGGCCUCCAGCACGGAGGGGUCAGCCAGAUGGGGGUCCGGGAUCUGCAGGUUGACAUCCAGCAGGGCCAGCAGCUCCCCAGCAUGGUACAGGUCAUUGGUGGUGAGCCUGGAGAACCGGAAGCCAUUGAGGUUACAGAGGGUCACAGCUGGGAAGACCAGGCUUUGAGCCACCACUUCGUCCACCUUAGUGACAUGCUGGUAGGAGAAGUAGUAGGACACCCUCUCAGAGCUCUCCACCAGCAGCAGGCCCAGAGAGCCCACGAAGGCCACUGCCCACAGCACACGCCGGAUGGUCAGCGGCCCAUACACGAAGAUGUGGCGGAUGCCAUGGAGGGUGGAGGUGUUGGCAAAGAUCUGGAUGCUAGAAGGUUGCAGGCUGCCCUCACUGGGGCUUUCCUUGAGGUCCAUCGGGACCCCGUGCAGUUCCGCAACUGGCUUCAGGUUGAUCGAAUUUCAGAGAAGAGCUCCCAGUCCUCGGGCUCUGCUUAAACCUUGACGUUCAGGGGAGAGAACGCAAGGCAAGCAUCGCGCCAGAUGCUGUGAGUUUAUCCUGAGAGCCCAGCCGCACGCUGACAGGGCUCCAGGCCCUCUCCUACAGGAAGACUUCCUGGAUUAAUCUGCUAAUCUUCAGCUCAUCCACCUGUUUAAUAGGCAAAACCUACAGAACUAGUCCACACUGAGUGGACCUCUGGGGCUCCCAGCUGCCGAUUGACCUGAACCCCAGAGUGAACUUGUGUUGCUUUGUGCCUUCAGGAAACCUUGUAACAUCUCUGUGCUGUUUCUUCAUUUGUGCUCAAUCAUUCCUGAGGCCUCCUCCUCC
rnacentral:lncRNA from 1 species